rnacentral:miRNA from 1 species
UUUGACCAUGCGGUGGUGGCC